GGCCCCGUAGCUCAACUGGACAGAGCGAGUGGCUUCUAUCCACUAGGUUGCAGGUUCGAGUCCUGCCGGGGUCA
rfam:Parcubacteria group bacterium GW2011_GWA2_38_13b GWA2_OD1-rel_38_13_curated_22, whole genome shotgun sequence.